rnacentral:rRNA from 1 species
ACGUUGUAAAAGCAUUGCGAGGGUCGUUGAUCGAUGCUGACGCAAUGUGAUUUCUGCCCAGUGCUCUGAAUGUCAAUGUGAAGAAAUUAAAAAAGCGCGGGUAAACGGCGGGAGUAACAAUUCCCCAAAUGUGGGGGUGAGGUUGGGGGUGAGGUUGUGACUUGGUUGUUUUUUGACUUCCCUUUUAGACACACCUCGAGAAGGCACGCCUCCACAUGGCGCCCCCUGGUACAGGGUGGUAACACCUUGUAGCUAACUGCCUGCUGAUCCGAUAAGGGUUCAA